UCAGGGAAAGGACAAAAUACAAAUGUCCGUUGUUUGGCACUCACCCCUAGUCUGCUGAAGAGAGUCCGUUAACCUCAGAGGCACUGUGAGACUACGGAUGUAGCAGUGGGAGACGGACUACCAGCGCCGACAGGAGAUCAGCACAGAGCAGAAUGGCCGGCAGCACUAACUGUCGUACGUCCGGAUUCUACACGCUUACAGACGAUUGAGAGACAAGAACCCUCCAUGGGAUCUUCAUGCUGUGAUCCACUCCCAGACUCAACUAACCGGGACCAUAGCUGAGUGUGUGCACCGGGAGACCUCGGGAUGCAAGCCCAGGAUCUUCCCACACGGCUUCAGCAUCAUGGAGUGUCGUCCCAGCACUGCGCUCCCCCAGAGCUGGCCUGCGCUGGGUCUUAAUGGACACACAAAGGCCUUUCCUAGCCCGAGUUGUCUAAGGACAUAUGUUUGCUGGCAUGUAACUCAUCUCGCAUGCUUGGCUGUUGGCGCUCCCCUGCUUCAUUCCUCUACACGCUCGGCUCCCUCUCUUCCACUCCCUCCCUCCCUCAUGCAG